GGUGCUGUGGUCUAGUGGUAUGACGUCACGUUGUGGCCGUGCCCGCCCCGGUUCGAUUCCGGGCAGCGCCA
rnacentral:tRNA from 1 species